GACGAACGCUGGCGGCGUGCUUAACACAUGCAAGUCGAACGGAAAGGCCCUGCUUGUGUGGGGUGCUCGAGUGGCGAACGGGUGAGUAACACGUGAGUAACCUGCCCUUGACUUUGGGAUAACUUCAGGAAACUGGGGCUAAUACCGGAUAGGAGCUCCUGCUGCAUGGUGGGGGUUGGAAAGUUUCGGCGGUUGGGGAUGGACUCGCGGCUUAUCAGCUUGUUGGUGGGGUAGUGGCUUACCAAGGCUUUGACGGGUAGCCGGCCUGAGAGGGUGGCCGGCCACAUUGGGACUGAGAUACGGCCCAGACUCCUACGGGAGGCAGCAGUGGGGAAUAUUGCACAAUGGGCGGAAGCCUGAUGCAGCAACGCCGCGUGCGGGAUGACGGCCUUCGGGUUGUAAACCGCUUUCGCCUGUGACGAAGCGUGAGUGACGGUAAUGGGUAAAGAAGCACCGGCUAACUACGUG
rnacentral:rRNA from 1 species